rnacentral:lncRNA from 1 species
UUUCAAUUUUUAACUUUCAACGCUUUUAAAAAAUUGCAAAUAUGAUCAAUUCUAUUAAUAAUAUUGUGAUAGAUAUAGUCUACUGUACGAACGGGAUUUGAAUUAUGUUAAUAUUGUAGUAAAUAUGCUAAUACAUUCGCUUUAUGACGACUUCUUAAUGCAUGAGGGUGAUAUGAACCAUAUCCAAAACCGAAACAAUAGUGAAAUUGUUUACUGUGAUAUACCUAAGGCUGUGCACCAUAGACCAGCAAGAGCAUCAAGGUACUUCCUUCCAUUAUUGUCAUAUACAUAUGAACCCUAUAUCAACAUGGAAUUCAAACUAUAAUUUUAAACAAAUCUAAUGUUAACCAAAACCAAAAUGAAGAGAUAUGUAGAAGGAUACCUCAGAUCUUGCCAUAAUCAUUGGACCAACAUUGUUGCUCUCCCAUCCUGAAGUAAAAGGUGCAAGCAUAUCAUGCCCUUUCACCCUGUAAUUAAAUCAUGAGUCAAAUUCUUAGCAAAAUUUCAAAAACAAAACUAAAAUUGGUAUGAGUUGUUAUACUUGGGUUCCUUUUCUUGUGCUAAGGCUUCCGUGCCGUGAAAGCGAGACAAGAAAGGAGCUAGGAUGCCAUGGUUCUGUGAAGCUCUUCUACACAAAGUUACCACUUUUGUGAAGGUACCCAACUGCAAUAAAAAGAAUAAAAGAUGUGUUUCAUAAUU